AAACCAACAGGGAUUACCUCAGUAACGGCGAGUGAAGCGGUAACAGCUCAAAUUUGAAAUCUGGCCCUUUCAGGGUCCGAGUUGUAAUUUGUAGAAGAUGCUUUGGGUGUGGCUCCGGUCUAAGUUCCUUGGAACAGGACGUCAUAGAGGGUGAGAAUCCCGUAUGUGACCGGUGGCUUUCGCCCGUGUAAAGCUCUUUCGACGAGUCGAGUUGUUUGGGAAUGCAGCUCAAAAUGGGUGGUAUAUUUCAUCUAAAGCUAAAUAUUGGCCAGAGACCGAUAGCGCACAAGUAGAGUGAUCGAAAGAUGAAAAGCACUUUGGAAAGAGAGUUAAACAGUACGUGAAAUUGUUGAAAGGGAAGCGCUUGCAACCAGACUCGCGCGCCGUUGAUCAUCCGGGGUUCUCCCCGGUGCACUCGGCGGCGCUCGGGCCAGCAUCAGUUUGGGUGGUGGGAUAAAGGCCUUGGGAAUGUAGCUCCCCUCGGGGAGUGUUAUAGCCCUCGGUGCAAUGCCACCUACCCGGACUGAGGACCGCGCUUCGGCUAGGAUGCUGGCGUAAUGGUUGUAAGCGA
rnacentral:rRNA from 1 species